rnacentral:ncRNA from 2 species
UAUAGUUUAUAGGGGAGCUGAUUAAAUUGGCUGAGAGGAAAUUGUAAAUUUCGACCCUUUAACCUGAUGCGGAUAAUGCCGCCGUAGGAAAUCAUAAGUUAUUUCGA